rnacentral:tRNA from 1 species
GGGCAAGUGGCGGAACUGGCAGACGCGCAGGUCUCAAAAACCUGUGGUCCUCUGGAUCAUGAGGGUUCGAGCCCCUCCUUGCCCA